rnacentral:rRNA from 1 species
UACAGAGGUGGCAAGCGUUGUUCGGAAUUACUGGGCGUAAAGGGCGCGUAGGCGGCCUUCUAAGUCAGACGUGAAAUCCCCCGGCUUAACCUGGGAACUGCGUCUGAUACUGGGAGGCUUGAGUAUGGGAGAGGGAUGUAGAAUUCCAGGUGUAGCGGUGAAAUGCGUAGAUAUCUGGAGGAAUACCGGUGGCGAAGGCGGCAUCCUGGACCAUAAUUGACGCUGAGGCGCGAAAGCUAGGGGAGCAAACGGG